ensembl:snRNA U6 U6 spliceosomal RNA
UUUCUUUGGCAGUAAAUAUAUUAAGAUUGGAAUGAUAAAGAGAAGAUAGCAUGGCCCCUGUGCAAAGAUGACACACAAAUUCAUGAAGCAUUCCAUAUUUUU